UACCCGAAGGCGGUGCGCCAACCAGCAAUGGAGGCAGCCGACCACGGUAGGAUCAGUGACUGGGGUGAAGUCGUAACAAGGUAGCCGUAGGGGAACCUGCGGCUGGAUCACCUCCUUUCUAAGG
rnacentral:rRNA from 1 species